GGGUACUGCGUGCUCCGCCUCUGCGAACCUGGUCUCGCCCGACGGUGUCCUCUCCGGCCGGCCCUGGCUGUCUCCCACGUCACCCCGGCCCCCCAGGGUUUCCCACACGCCAUGAACCUGCACACACAUGGGCAGCCCUGGCUGGCUGCGGGAGGGAAGAGGGGAGACGGGGGCUCCUCCUGCUAUGUUGGUGCCCGGGCUCCACCGAGGUCCCCCACCAGGGGGCCACCGCCUCCCGGUCCCUUAGGCCUGGGUGACAGUGUCUCCCUGCUGAUGCCAAGCUCUGGUGGCCUCACGGUGGGAGCCAUGGGCCUGCGCUGCUCAGAUCUCCCGGGCGGGGAGCAGAGCUGAUUGACGACCCGGCUGCACCCCCUGGACCCGCCACUACACAUGUGACCAGGCCACGCCUCCCUGGACCCUGUCCGUGGGACACCGCCUUCCUCGGACAGGAGACUCUGGCUUGGGGACCCCACGCCACAGCCAGGUUGUCUCAGAACAAUGCCGCAGCCACACACUCCUCCUCCCCUGUGUCACAGCGUCAGGCCUGCGCAGUGUCUUGGAGGGGCUCCCUGCCCCCACCGGUCUUCCUGGCACUUCCCCAGCAGAUCUGUGGCCCGUUAGCUCCCGCCCUGACAUCCACUUCCUGGAGGACUGCGGCUGACUCGCUGUUCCCUGUUCGGCCUCUCAGGAUCCCAACACCUGCUCAACAAAUACCCUGUAUUAAAUCCCUCUGUUUGAAACACCUGGGAAGUUUUCUAUUUUCCUACCUGAAGCCUGGUUGCUGGUCACAGAGGACAAGAAUGGCUGCCCACGUGGCCACUGUAGAUCACAACCAAAGCAGCUAUGUAUCGACAGUUCCCUAAGUCCCAGUCACUAAGUGUCUUCCAUAUGCUAACUCAUUUAAUUCUCACAGGAAUUCUAAGAGGGUGGUAUUACGAUCGUCUGCAUUUUACAGAUGAGCAAGACACAGCACAGAGAAGGAAGUUCACUUGCCCCAAGUCACACGCCCUUCUCCUCCUUCUGGGACCCUCCUUCACGAGAGGCUAUGGAAAGAGCUCAUCCAUCCGCUCAUUCAUUCCUUUCUUAAUACUGGGGCCAAGCCCACAGGUCACCGGGGAGUGCCGUCACGCCAGCCCUUCCUGCGUCUCUGCCUGGGUCGUCCUCUGGCCCAGAGUGACGAGUGCCCGCGAAUCCUAAUCCCUCUGGGAGACAAUUUCCAGCAGGAAAACUGGAAACCCGCACGGUGAGUCCAACGGUGGGGAUCAGAGUACCUGGGAGUCAGCACCUCUCACCUGGGGAUUUCACUCUGGCACCGAGCCUGCGGCCAGGAGUAAGCGGGAGGCUUGGCUCCAGGAGAGGGAGCUCCGCUUACCGGGUGAGCAAGUGGGGGGUCUGCAGUAGGGUGAGUGUCUGCCAGUCACCAGGACACAGCGGUGGUGUUUAUGUCACUUCUCAUCUUCAGCAAACACAGUUUUGACUCUGCCCUCUCUGAGCACCUGGGAAGCAUUAGCAGAGCAUCACAAAUGCAUUGUCACAAGGACAUUGGGAGGGAAGAUGGGAUUCAGAUGCUGUUAGACAUUUGUCUCCUACAGGGGACAGUUCUGAGACGCAGGUGGCUUUCAUCCCUGGCCUUCGAGCCCAGCCCCAUGCAGGUCAGGCUGUUUCCUCGGCAGGUGUGCCAGGACCCCGGUCCUGGGAGGGGCGGGUUUGCCUGAUCUGCUGCACUUGGCCUUCCAGGGCCAAACACUGGGCACUGUGAAGAUGAGCUCCCACACAAGCCGGUUAGGAGGAUAAAUGAGGGGAAAGAGGGGUCUGGACACAGCCCAGCACCUGCCCCGCACCGGGCGCUGAGCUAAGCGCCGUGGAGAAGACAGCCAGCCCCACGCGGCGGCUGCCCUGGAAGUUCCUCCAGCCCCACAAAGACCAGGACUCAUCGGUGCGGGGCAGACGGCGGUCAGCACGUCCCGACAGGCGCUCGGAGCCGUGGGCACCCCAGCAGGCAGGUCAGAAGGACUCCAAGGACGGAGUUCCAGCGGAGCCUGAGGGUCACAGACUCACAGAGGACGGGCUUCUUCCUCUACUUUAGCAGACAAAAGAAAAAGCCCGGACGGGCCGGUGUGACCCGCCAGAACACUGAAGACACUUGGCUGCAACCUUCUUAUUUUGUAGACACCACAAAGGGAAUAAUGCUGCUGUUUAAAAAAAAGACUGAAUAUUCCCCUAGGCUCUUUGCUACACAGGGCCCCCCUAAAGUGAUCGAGGACCCUUACGUCAAUAACGGCGAAUUAAAAUUUUUGACUCCUGUAUCCCUAACUCGAUGCCAUUUUAAUACAAAGCAUAAAGCCACAGACCUAAAAUAUGGUGAUUAUUAA